rnacentral:rRNA from 1 species
UACGAAGGGGGCUAGCGUUGUUCGGAAUUACUGGGCGUAAAGCGCGCGCAGGCGGUUUUUCAAGUCAGUGGUGAAAGCCCGGAGCUCAACUCCGGAACUGCCAUUGAAACUGUAGAACUUGAGGACGAGAGAGGUGAGUGGAAUUCCCAGUGUAGAGGUGAAAUUCGUAGAUAUUGGGAAGAACACCGGUGGCGAAGGCGGCUCACUGGCCCAUUACCGACGCUCAGGCGCGAUAGCGUGGGGAGCAAACAGG